GUUUGGGAGCCCAUUAGUAGCACAUGAAUGAGCUAUGAUUGGCUUGAUUAUUUCAUUCAGUAACAAUUUAUUAAGUCUCUGAUGUACAACUCGCCAUAUAGGAUCACACUGUAAAACGGUUACCAGCAUUAGCCUGCUUUACUUCAGAAUAGCAGAAAGUUAAACAGCUACACACCCAUAAUCUCUUAAUACAAUUAUCACCAUAAUGCCAACCGACAAGCAUUGACCCUUCCUCACUUCUCUGGCUACAAGAAUAGUGAAAAAAUGACUUGUGAAUGGGUUGGACCCAGAUUUUAAUCCAGCCGUGUCCCCUUUCAGCUGCGUUGCCUUAGGUGAGUUCUGUUAAAUUUCCCUCUUUUAUAAGGUAGGACAUUAACACUCAUUUUGAGAAUUAAGGUUGGAUUAUUACCUACCUAGUGCAUAGAAGUCACUGUUCAAUAAGUAUGGGCACGUCUUCUAUUUAAAAUAAGGUGUUUUAAUAUGAAAAUUAUCUCCUGCUCCCCCCAAUCCCUACAGCAAAAUGACGUGUUGGUUUUCACAGCAUAUAGAUUGCUUAUUAGAAUGACUUAUACAUAGCCAGUCCUAACGUCUGCUUUAUUUCAAGUCACAAAGUUACUGUCCCACGGAAAGGAUCCCAAUCUCCUGCAGGGACAUUAUGAGUAAGGUCUGCAGGGGACUAGCAAUCCACGUUUAAAAAGAUUCAGCAUUCUGCAAUGGUCACUGCUGUUAUCUGCAAGGAACUCUGCGAGGUGCAUUUUAAACCAAGCUGUCUGGCUGCCACACCCAUGUGAAAUGCUUGAAUUUUAUGGUGCUUAAAUAUUUAAUGAUUCGUUGGAAAAAAUGUGAAGCAUGUCCAUUUAAAUUGCAUCCAUGUCUCUAAACCAUGGUUUUAAAGUAAAAAAAUUUUAUUGCGUCACUUUUGCCAAGAUGCCCAAUCUACUACUAAAGCAUACAUAUUUGCUGUAUUGUCACGUACAAUGUGGCUGAUUAUAUAUAAAUCUCCGUGGCAGCUUCCAAGACCAUUGUUGUUGAUGAAUGUAUUUUCUUUUAAGCUAAAGUUGGUUUCCUCUUACAUGUGUAUGUGUUCUUGUGUACAGACACAUUAUAUGAAGUUGUGUGUAUGUAUGUAUUACGUGUAUGUAGGAACAACUCUAAAUGGUUGUUCCUCAGGUGCCAUUUGAAUGAAAAAGAAAUAAAAGGAAAGAAAAUGACUGC
rnacentral:lncRNA from 1 species